rnacentral:rRNA from 1 species
GAUGAACGCUGGCGGUAUGCCUAACACAUGCAAGUCGUACGAGAGUUUUUAACUCAAGUGGCGGACGGGUGAGUAACACGUGAGAAUUUACCUUUAGGAGGGGGACAACAACUGGAAACGGUUGCUAAUACCCCAUAUGCUUCCGAGUGAAAUGAAUUUAUUCGCCUAAAGAGAAGCUCGCGGCUGAUUAGCUUGUUGGUAGGGUAAGAGCCUACCAAGGCGACGAUCAGUAUCUGGUUUGAGAGGACGAUCAGACACACUGGAACUGAGACACGGUCCAGACUCCUACGGGAGGCAGCAGUGGGGAAUUUUCCGCAAUGGGCGAAAGCCUGACGGAGCAAUACCGCGUGAGGGAAGACGGCCCAUGGGUUGUAAACCUCUUUUUUCAGGGAGGAAUAAAUGACGUGUACCUGAAGAAUAAGCAUCG